rnacentral:rRNA from 1 species
UACGUAGGGCGCAAGCGUGUCCGGAAUUAUUGGGCGUAAAGAGCUCGUAGGCGGCUUGUCACGUCGGUUGUGAAAGCCCGGGGCUAACCCCGGGUCUGCAGUCGAUACGGGCAGGCUAGAGUGUGGUAGGGGAGGAUGAAUUCCUGGUGUAGCGGUGAAAUGCGCAGAUAUCAGGAGGAACACCGGUGGCGAAGGCGGAUCUCUGGGCCAUUACUUGACGUGAGGAGCGAAAGCGUGGGGGAGCGAACAGG